AUGGGGAUUCCGCACAACGUAAGACCAUGAACCUGGUCAGGGGUUUGCGCCAGCAGCCAUAAGUGUCCUCUUGCGUGUGUGUCGGGGUUCCCAUGGGC
rnacentral:SRP_RNA from 1 species